GCAAGUCGUACGAGGAAUCCUAGGCAACCCGGGAGAGUAAAGUGGCGCACGGGUGAGUAACGCGUGGGUAAUCUACCUUGGAGUUGGGAAUAACACCUCGAAAGGGGUGCUAAUACCCGAUACGGUCCUCGGAGUUUCGGCUCUGAGGAUAAAAGAUGGCUGAGGCUUGCAAGCUAUUGCUCCAAGAUGAGCCCGCGUACCAUUAGCUAGUUGGUAGGGUAAUGGCCUACCAAGGCAAUGAUGGUUAGCUGGUCUGAGAGGAUGACCAGCCACACUGGAACUGAGAUACGGUCCAGACUCCUACGGGAGGCAGCAGUGAGGAAUCUUGCGCAAUGGGGGCAACCCUGACGCAGCAACGCCGCGUGAGUGAUGAAGGCCUUCGGGUCGUAAAGCUCUGUCAGGUGGGAAGAAAGGUUUCAGGGUAAAUAAUCCUGGAAAUUGACGGUCCACCAGAGGAAGCACCGGCUAACUCCGUGCCAGCAGCCGCGGUAAUACGGAGG
rnacentral:rRNA from 1 species